rnacentral:rRNA from 1 species
UGCCAGCAGCCGCGGUAAUACAGAGGGUGCGAGCGUUAAUCGGAAUUACUGGGCGUAAAGAGCUCGUAGGUGGAUAAAUAAGUCAGAUGUGAAAUGCCUGGGCUCAACCUGGGAACUGCAUUUGAAACUGUUUAUCUAGAGUACAGUAGAGGGUAUAGGAAUUCCUGGUGUAGCGGUGAAAUGCGUAGAUAUCAGGAGGAACAUCAGUGGCGAAGGCGAAUACCUGGACUGAUACUGACACUGAGGAGCGAAAGCGUGGGUAGCGAACAGGAUUAGAUA